GGGGCCCACUAGCAUGGCAGGAGCUGGUUUUCAAAAGGUGUAAUUCUCCACUGCGUGUCAUGGCUUUACUCUGGAACCUAGGGAUCUGCGAUGCUACUUACGCAUUAGAGUUGCUAUCACCUCUACGUGGAGUAUUUUCCCAUGAUGGAUACCUCUAAUAACAUAGGACUACCAGGUCAUACGGCCCAAGCAGGAGGGAAGCUCGCACCACUGCCUGAAUCUGCUCCAGAACCCUUUUCUACUCUGGGCCCCAACUCAAAAUUGGCACCUUUCAAGCCAUCAGUAUAUGUUAAGAGCAGAAUUCCCAGGUGUGGAAUAUUCUGCUUCUGAAACCCAAAGACGCCUACCAGGCAUUAUGCUUCCUUCUUCAUCGUGGAAGAGUUCUUCCUCUUGAAGACUCAAGAGUUUCAGUCUGAAAACUGGCCCAGACCCAGACAUUGGACAAGGGAUCAUGGCUGGAUAUUGGAGCGACUGCCCUCAGCCUCCUAAUCACCCAUCCUUGGAUUAUUUUGAUUGUACAGAUUGAGUAGCCCACUUGUUGGCUGCCCAUCUGUUUCACCCCGGGGAUCCCUUGUUCUGUGAACUGUCUCCAAAACUCACCAGGAACAGGCUGACCACAGGCAGGAAACACACCUAUAAGAGCAACGCAGGUGGAGACCCACAAGCUUUCAGAGAUCGUCACAAAGGUUCAGAAAUCAAAUGGCUCCAAGGCAUUUUAAGUCACAUGGAGGCCAGAAGAGAAUGAAACAAGUGCCUUCAAAACUCAGAAGCAAAACCAAUGUCUAACCUAGAAUCUAUACCCAAGCAAACCAUCACUUAAAUGUCAUAGAACAGACAUUUUAAGAUAUGCAAAGUUUACCUCCCAUGUACCUGCAGGAAGUAUACCACUGAAAUAACAGGGGGAAACGUGUGACACAGGAAAUGAAAGGCAAAGGGAAGCCUGAGGAAGGCGAAGAGAAAACCCAGCACAGCCGUGCACCCGACAGAGCACAACCAGUGGGGGCUGGAACACCCACACUCCCGAGACAGAUGGAGGGCUGGGUGGCCCCCACGCCUCUUGUCCCCUCUUCCGAACCUGGGACAGUAUGCCAUGGUCAGCCUGACAGAUUAUUUUACUCAGGCUGACGGUGCUUAAAUUCCUGCUUUUCCUCCUACUAUGCUGUCUGGAACACACAGUUCACCCUCACAGAAGUGUUCUGCCAUCUUGGAAACUGGAGGUGGGCCAAGCACUCUGCCGAGGCCUAGCUGCUGGCCAGCUGUUUCUCACAGCCUCAUUCACUGACCACCCACAAGCGGCUCCUGUAAGAUUUCAGGGAAGCUAGAAAACGACCCUGAGAUUCUGUUCAGUUUAUCUUCUCCUGGCAGCCUUCUUACAGUAGCAGUACUGCUCUUUACAGGUCUGUGCUUGCUCAUCAAUUUUUAUAUUACUCACUCUUCAUUUCUAUCAAUA
rnacentral:lncRNA from 1 species